rnacentral:lncRNA from 1 species
AUUCUCAGGAGCUGGUACCUGUGUUGCUUCUCUGUUUAGCAGCUACAGAUGAUGCAAAGUCGUUGCAUGUAAAUUUACCAGGUAAAUUAUUAAAAAUUGGAAGAACUGCAGCAGGGAACGUGACCUGAAUUAACCCUUAGCAAGCCAGAAGGAGUACGCUGGAAAGCCGAUCCUGCUCUAUAGGAGGUGCUGUAGGUGCAAUUGUAGGUGCUGUAGGCCAGGGGGUGGGAGCAGGAGAGCUGAGGCCUGCAGCCAGAUGAUUUUCCCUGCUAAAGUCAGUGCGGGUAUCUCCCCUCCAUCAUCACCUCCCUGUAUCGCAGCUGGCUCAGGACAGCAGCGAAGGAGUUAAGGGCUGGUGCUGGAGAAGGCCGGCUGUCAGGAGGGAGCAUGUGCAGUUUGCAACCGCAUCCAUGCUACGGGUUAGAAUCACUGGAACAUUUAAUCUCCAGCAGCCGCCGCCGCCUCGAGCCAUCCAUGGAGGCGAGGAAGACAAUGCGCGGCUGAGCGGAGGAGGAGGGAGAGGCAGGAGCGAGGCAGAGCGUGGCCGCAGCAGCUGCUCUGGAGCGCGCUCUCCCCAUCUUCGCCAGGAGUUCCG